rnacentral:rRNA from 1 species
AUUGAACGCUGGCGGCAGGCCUAACACAUGCAAGUCGAGCGGAUGAAGGGAGCUUGCUCCUGGAUUCAGCGGCGGACGGGUGAGUAAUGCCUAGGAAUCUGCCUGGUAGUGGGGGAUAACGUCCGGAAACGGGCGCUAAUACCGCAUACGUCCUGAGGGAGAAAGUGGGGGAUCUUCGGACCUCACGCUAUCAGAUGAGCCUAGGUCGGAUUAGCUAGUUGGUGGGGUAAAGGCCUACCAAGGCGACGAUCCGUAACUGGUCUGAGAGGAUGAUCAGUCACACUGGAACUGAGACACGGUCCAGACUCCUACGGGAGGCAGCAGUAGGGAAUAUUGGGCAAUGGGCGAAAGCCUGAUCCAGCAAUGCCGCGUGUGUGAAGAAGGUCUUCGGAUUGUAAAGCACUUUAAGUUGGGAGGAAGGGCAGUAAGUUAAUACCUUGCUGUUUUGACGGUACCAACAGAAUAAGCACCGGCUAACUUCGUG